rnacentral:rRNA from 1 species
CCAGACUCCUACGGGAGGCAGCAGUGGGGAAUAUUGCACAAUGGGGGAAACCCUGAUGCAGCGACGCCGCGUGAAGGAAGAAGUAUUUCGGUAUGUAAACUUCUAUCAGCAGGGAAGAAAAUGACGGUACCUGACUAAGAAGCCCCGGCUAACUACGUGCCAGCAGCCGCGGUAAUACGUAGGGGGCAAGCGUUAUCCGGAUUUACUGGGUGUAAAGGGAGCGUAGGCGGUUUAGCAAGUCAGAAGUGAAAGCCCGGGGCUCAACUCCGGGACUGCUCUGGAAACUGUAUGACUUGAGUGCAGGAGAGGUAAGCGGAAUUCCUAGUGUAGCGGUGAAAUGCGUAGAUAUUAGGAGGAACACCAGUGGCGAAGGCGGCUUACUGGACUGUAACUGACGUUGAGGCUCGAAAGCAUGGGGAGCAAACAGGAUUAGAUACCCCCGUA